rnacentral:rRNA from 1 species
CCUACGGGUGGCAGCAGUGGGGGAUAUUGCACAAUGGGGGGAACCCUGAUGCAGCGACGCCGCGUGAGUGAGGAAGUAUUUCGGUAUGUAAAGCUCUAUCAGCAGGGAAGAAGAAAUGAGGUACCUGAAGUAGAAACCCCCGAUAACUACGUUCCAGCAGCCGCGGUAAUACGUAGGGGGCAAGCGUUAUCCGGAUUUACUGGGUGGAAAGGGAGCGUAGACGGCAGUGCAAGUCUGGAGUGAAAGGCGGGGGCUCAACCCCCGGACUGCUCUGGAAACUGUAUGGCUGGAGUGCAGGAGAGGUAAGUGGAAUUCCUAGUGUAGCGGUGAAAUGCGUAGAUAUUAGGAGGAACACCAGUGGCGAAGGCGGCUCACUGGACUGUAACUGACGUUGAGGCUCGAAAGCGUGGGGAGCAAACAGGAUUAGAUACCCUAGUAGUC